GCGAACGGGUGAAGUAAUGCUUGGAUAAUCUGCCUUUAGGACUGGGACAACUACAGGAAACUGUAGCUAAUACCGGAUAUGACCACAUUUACCAAGGUUUAUGUGGUAAAAGAUUUAUCGCCUUUAGAUGAGUCCAAGUCGCAUCAGGUUGUUGGUAGGGUAAUGGCCUACCAAGCCUAUGACGCGUAGCAGGUCUUAGCGGAUGAUCUGCCACAUGGGGACUGAGAUACGGCCCUGACUCCUACGGGAGGCAGCAGUGAGGAAUAUUGGGCAAUGGACGAAAGUCUGACCCAGCGAUGCCGCGUGAAGGAUGAAGGCCUUAGGGUUGUAAACUUCUGUCAGCAGGGAAGAUAAUGACGGUACCUGCAGAGGAAGCCCCGGCUAACUCCGUGCCAGCAGCCGCGGUAAUACGGAGGGGGCAAACGUUACUCGGAUUUACUGGGCGUAAAGGGUCCGUAGGCGGUUUUUUAAGUUAGAUGUGAAAGCUUGAAGCUUAACUUCAAAAUUGCAUCUAAAACUGGAUUACUUGAUUAUUGGAGAGGUUGAUGGAAUUACCGGUGUAGCGGUGAAAUGCGUAGAUAUCGGUAGGAACACCAGUGGCGAAAGCGAUCAACUGGCCAAUUAAUGACGCUGAGGGACGAAAGCGUGGGUAGCAAACAGGAUUAGAUACCCUGGUAGUCCACGCCCUAAACGAUGAAUACUAGAUGUAGGAUUUUUUCUGUAUCGUAGCUAACGCAUUAAGUAUUCCGCCUGGGGAGUACGGUCGCAAGGCUGAAACUCAAAGGAAUUGGCGGGGACUCGCACAAGCGGUGGAGCAUGUGGUUUAAUUCGAUGCUAAGCGAAGAACCUUA
rnacentral:rRNA from 1 species